UACGGAAUGUGCAAACGUUAUUCGGAAUCACUGGGCUUAAAGAGUCCGUAGGCGGCUUGUUAGGUGAGGUGUGAAAUCCCCCGGCUCAACCGAGGAAUUGCGCUUCAAACCGGCGAGCUUGAGGAAGGUAGAGGUGGGCGGAACUGAUGGUGGAGCGGUGAAAUGCGUUGAUAUCAUCAGGAACACCGGAGGCGAAGGCGGCCCACUGGGUCUUUCUGACGCUGAGGGACGAAAGCUAGGGUAGCGAACGGG
rnacentral:rRNA from 1 species